CGAGCGAAGCGGGAAGAGCUCAAAUUUAUAAUCUGGCACCUUCGGUGUCCGAGUUGUAAUCUCUAGAAGUGUUUUCCGCGUUGGACCGCACACAAGUCUGUUGGAAUACAGCGGCAUAGUGGUGAAACCCCCGUAUAUGGUGCGGACGCCCAGCGCUUUGUGAUACACUUUCAAUGAGUCGAGUUGUUUGGGAAUGCAGCUCAAAUUGGGUGGUAAAUUCCAUCUAAAGCUAAAUAUUGGCGAGAGACCGAUAGCGAACAAGUACCGUGAGGGAAAGAUGAAAAGCACUUUGGAAAGAGAGUUAACAGUACGUGAAAUUGUUGGAAGGGAAACGCUUGAAGUCAGACUUGCUUGCCGGAGCUUGCUUCGGUUUGCAGGCCAGCAUCAGUUUUCCGGGGUGGAUAAUGACGGUUUGAAGGUAGCAGUCUCGGCUGUGUUAUAGCUUUCCGUUGGAUACGCCCUGGGGGACUGAGGAACGCAGCGUGCUUUUUGCGAAAGACUCGUCUUUUUCACGCUUAGGAUGCUGGUGGAAUGGCUUUAAACGACCCGUC
rnacentral:rRNA from 1 species